rnacentral:rRNA from 1 species
CCUACGGGCUGCACCAGUGGGGAAUAUUGGACAAUGGGCGAAAGCCUGAUCCAGCAAUGCCGCGUGUGCGAUGAAGGCCUUCGGGUUGUAAAGCACUUUUGGCAGGAAAGAAACGUCAUGGGCUAAUACCCCGUGAAACUGACGGUACCUGCAGAAUAAGCACCGGCUAACUACGUGCCAGCAGCCGCGGUAAUACGUAGGGUGCAAGCGUUAAUCGGAAUUACUGGGCGUAAAGCGUGCGCAGGCGGUUCGGAAAGAAAGAUGUGAAAUCCCAGAGCUUAACUUUGGAACUGCAUUUUUAACUACCGAGCUAGAGUGUGUCAGAGGGAGGUGGAAUUCCGCGUGUAGCAGUGAAAUGCGUAGAUAUGCGGAGGAACACCGAUGGCGAAGGCAGCCUCCUGGGAUAACACUGACGCUCAUGCACGAAAGCGUGGGGAGCAAACAGGAUUAGAUACCCGCGUAGUC